UGCAUAUCAAUAAGCGGAGGAAAAGAAACUAACAAGGAUUCCCCUAGUAACGGCGAGUGAAGCGGGAAGAGCUCAAAUUUGUAAUCUGGCACUUUCAGUGUCCGAGUUGUAAUCUCGAGAAGUAUUUUCCGCGCCGGACCGCAUACAAGUCUGUUGGAAUACAGCGUCAUAGUGGUGAGAGCCCCGUAACUGAUGCGGAUGCCCGGUGCUUUGUGAUAUACUUUCGAAGAGUCGAGUUGUUUGGGAAUGCAGCUCAAAUUGGGUGGUAAAUUCCAUCUAAAGCUAAAUAUUGGAGCAAGACCGAUAGCGAACAAGUACCGUGAGGGAAAGAUGAAAAGCACUUUGGAAAGAGAGUUAACAGUACGUGAAAUUGUUGGAAGGGAAACGCUUGAAGUCAGACUUGCUAUUCGGAGUUCAGCCGCAAGGUGUAUUCUUCGAUUUGCAGGCCAGCAUCAGUUUUUGGGGAUGGAAAAUCGCGGUUUGAAGGUAGCAGUUUCGGCUGUGUUAUAGCUUUCCGCUGGAUUCAUCCUUGGGGACUGAGGAACGCAGUACGCUUUUUGCAAGGCCCUCGGGCUUUUCGUACUUAGGAUGCUGGUGGAAUGGCUUUAAACGACCCGUCUUG
rnacentral:rRNA from 1 species